rnacentral:lncRNA from 1 species
GGUGUAGGUGCAUGGUUUUUAGUCAAAAAAAGGGUGUUGAGUAGUGAAAUGGUGAGAUAAGAGGUCUGCACUGUUUUGGAAGGUUAGGGGUAUGUUAUCACACACAUUAGGACUUGUCUAGAUGACUAAACUAGUAAAAUAUGUUCUAAAAUGGAAAAUGGCUUCAUAGGUUGAGUUUUUAACCCAUUUUAGGGUUUUAAGGGGUGAAAAUGAGAAGUAGGACUGUUGGGAGUAUUAUGUGGUUUUUAAGAGUCCUAGCAAGUGCAAUUGGACUUGUUUAUGCAGGUUGCAAACUGGUUUAAGGGUUUUAAAGGAUAGAAAAGAAAUUAGGUAGCUUGUAGGAGUGAAUUUGGAUUUUAAAGUGUCAAAAGUGGUUUGAUACACCUAGUCUUGGAUCUAGUGAUCAAAUAGAUGUUUGUUUCAACUUAUAAACGUGUUUUCCCAUCAAUACAAAUGUGUAAGGAACUCCUUUAGUCAUUAGAACAAGUUCCAAGUGCAUCAAAAGUCAACUUUCAUGGUUGCUAUCAAUUGGUAUGGUGCCCCAGCGCCCCUAGUCGAGCCCU